CGUGCCUAAUACAUGCAAAGUUGAACGCAACAAAGACACCAGAGCUUGCUCUACCGUCUUUGUUGAGUAGCGAACGGGUGAGUAACGCGUGGGUAACCUGCCUUAUAGCGGGGGAUAACUAUUGGAAACGAUAGCUAAUACCGCAUAACAAUAGAGAUUGCAUAAUCUUUAUUUGAAAGUGCCAACUGGUACACUAUGAGAUGGACCCGCGUUGUAUUAGCUAGUUGGUAGUGUAAUGGACUACCAAGGCGAUGAUACAUAGCCGACCUGAGAGGGUGAUCGGCCACAUUGGGACUGAGACACGGCCCAAACUCCUACGGGAGGCAGCAGUAGGGAAUCUUCGGCAAUGGACGAAAGUCUGACCGAGCAACGCCGCGUGAGUGAAGAAGGUUUUCGGAUCGUAAAACUCUGUUGUUAGAGAAGAAUGUUGAUUAGAGUGGAAAAUUAAUCAAGUGACGGUAUCUAACCAGAAAGGGACGGCUAACUACGUG
rnacentral:rRNA from 1 species